rnacentral:lncRNA from 1 species
CACAGAGGCCGUCUUUGGCUCAUUUAUGUAACCAUUCAUCCCUUGAAGAACAUCUGGGUUGUUUCCAGUGGGCAAUUAUAAAUAGAGCCUCUGUCAACAUUCCUGUACCAGUUUUAGUAUGAACAUAAAUUUAUAUUUCUCUAAGUAUUCAGGAGUAGAAUUGACGUUCUGUCAUAUGGAUAGCCACUGAGCAAGCCUGUAAGGCUAUUGGUCUGCCCAUUCUGGUUUCUUCACCAAUGAGAAAACUGGGACCUGGGGAGUUUGCAGAAGCCAUCCAAAGGCACCUGCUUCUCACAGCACAGCAGCUUCUUGCAGCCCUCCCUCCUGUCUUGUUUCUCCCUUGGUUGAGAGGAGAGGCCAGAACCGGAUGCAGCCAGUUCCAACAGUAAUGAAUUGCUCUAAGGUGUGGAGCCAAGAACCGGUGACAAGGUCAGGAAAUUCCACCCUGGGGCACUGACCCAACUAAGAGACUGUGCAUGAUGGCUAAGUUCAGAGCUCUGAGGAGAUGGUAAAACUCAUUUGCAAUGAAACAAGCUAUUUCCCAACUCUGCAGCCAGGUACAGAAAGCUGGAAGUGAUGCUCCAGGGAGUUAUGUCUCCCCAUCUUGACCCACAGCAAUACCUGAGGCUUGUUGCUUUGAUUCAAGUCCGGACAAGCUCUAAGGUUCAGCUCACACUGGGAGUCAUGCUGCAGGAGCUCCUAGGAGUCUGUGAAUGGUGGUGAUGCAGAAAAGCAAAGUGUGUGCAUCUGUUUUAGUCCUCCCUCAGA